rnacentral:rRNA from 1 species
GAUGAACGCUGGCGGCGUGCCUAAUACAUGCAAGUCGAGCGAACGGACGAGAAGCUUGCUUCUCUGAUGUUAUCGGCGGACGGGUGAGUAACACGUGGAUAACCUACCUAUAAGACUGGGAUAACUUCGGGAAACCGUAUCUAAUACCGGAUAAUAUUUUGAACCGCAUUGUUCAAAAGUUAAAGACGGUCUUUCUUUCACUUAUAGAUUGAUCCGCGCUGCAUUAGCUAGUUGGUAAGGUAACGGCUUACCAACGCAACGAUGGAUAGACGACCUGAGAGGGUGAUCGCCCACAUUGGAACUGAGACACGGUCCAGACUCCUACGGGAGGCAGCAGUAGGGAAUCUUCCGCAAUGGGCGAAAGCCUGACGGAGCAACGCCGCGUGAGUGCUGAAGGUCUUCGGAUCGUAAAACUCUGUUAUUAGGGAAGAACAUAUGUGUAAGUAACUGUGCUCAUCUUGACGGUACCUAAUCAGAAAGCCACGGCUAACUACGUG